UUAUAUUUUAUUUAUUAAUUUUUUUUAUUUUAUUUAUAAUUUAUUAAAAAUAAUUAUAUAAUGUUUAGUUUUAGUAAUUUUUAAAGAAAUAAUAAAUUUAAUUAUAGUUAAUUAGUAUUGUGAAAGAAAAUUGAAAUAAUUUGAAAAAUUUAUAUUUUAAAAGAAAAUUUAAUUUAUUGUACCUUGUGUAUCAGGGUUUAUUUAAUAAAAAUUAAUUAUUUAAUUUUCUCGAUUUUAAAAGAGUUAAUAUAUUGUAAAAUUUAAUGUUAUAAAAUUAUUUUAAAUAGUAUAUUAGAAAUGAAAUGUUAUUCGUUUUUGAAGGUAUCUAGUUCUUUAAGAAAUAAAUUUAAUUUAUAAAUUUUAUAUUAUUUAAUUAAAUAUAUUAAUUAAAUAAUUAUUUAAUUUUUAUAUUAUAUGGGAUAAGCUAUAUAAUAAAUUUUUAAAAAUUGGUAAAAAUUUUAAAAGAUAUAGGCUUAGAAAUAGUCAUUAUUAUUAAAAUUGUUAUAAUUUAUUUUAUUUAAUAAAUUAUUUAUUGAAAUUUUAAGUAUUUAUUAAAGUAUUUAUUAAAAUUAUAAAAAUAAAAAAAUAAUGAUGGAAUUAGUAUAUAAUUAUGUUUGAAUAAUUAUUUUUGAGAAGUUUUUAUAAAGAACUCGGCAAAUUAAUGUUCGCCUGUUUAACAAAAACAUGUCUUUUUUGAAUUUUUAAAAAGUCUAACCUGCCCACUGAAAUUUUAAAUGGCCGCAGUAUACUAACUGUGCAAAGGUAGCAUAAUCAUUAGUUUUUUAAUUGAAGGCUGGUAUGAAUGGUUGGACGAAUAUUAACUGUUUCAUAAAUAAUUUUAUUAGAAUUUUAUUUUUUAGUUAAAAAGCUAAAAUUUAUUUAAAAGACGAGAAGACCCUAUAAAUCUUUAUAUUUAAUUUAUUAAAAAUUUUUAGAAUUUUUUGUUAUAAUAAAUAAUAAUAUUUUAUUGGGGUGAUAUUAAAAUUUAAUAAACUUUUAAUUUUUUUUAUCAUAAAUUAAUGAGUAAUUGAUCCAUUAUUAAUGAUUAAAAAUUCAAGUUACUUUAGGGAUAACAGCGUAAUUUUUUUGGAGAGUUCUUAUCAAUAAAAAAGAUUGCGACCUCGAUGUUGGAUUAAGAUAUAAUUUUAGGUGUAGAAGCUUAAAUUUUAAGUCUGUUCGACUUUUAAAAUCUUACAUGAUCUGAGUUCAAACCGGUGUAAGCCAGGUUGGUUUCUAUCUUUAAAUUAUUAAAAUAUUUUAGUACGAAAGGAUCAAAUAUUUGGUAAAUGAUUAUUUUUAUUAAGAAUAUAAUUAAUAG
rnacentral:rRNA from 1 species